ensembl:lncRNA
UUUUUUUUUUUUUUUCUUUUUAUUUAUCUUUAGCUGCAUUUGAAGUUUAUGUGCCACAGCAGAAUUUUGCACAUAUUGAUACAUUUAUUAUAUUUAUCAAGACAAUUCAUGGCUUCCUUGGAACUUUGUUUGGCUGUUUCCACUGUUAAGAAAGCAAAUUACACCAGUCAUUGAUUACAGAAGUAUUUCUGUCUUUUCUGGUUUACAGAGGCUCAUUGCACAUCCCUGUUGCCAUGAACAUAUGACCAUAUGCAGCAUAAUCAAAUAAAUCUCCAAACCUAAGACAAAGAUACACCUGUUCAGAGCUGUUAAUAUCCUUUGUAAUUGAGAAUUCUUAACCAUGCCUUUAAACCCGGCACUGUGCAGAUUAAAUGGGACAUUUAUUACUACAGGCUGACUGUCCCUUAUGUAUCCAGCACCUACUGAACACAUACGUGCUCAGCUCCUUUCUUCCCUCUGUUCACAUCGUAAUAAUGUAUUACAGAAUAAAAAUGCUUAUUAUUUUAGCAUAUACUGUAUUUGUAUACUUUAGUUCUCACAGGAGUCAAAAAUUAGAAAAUGCUUCAAAAAUAAAUUUUAAAAAAUUAAUUUGGACAAUCUUUCUUUAAAGGCUUCUAGACAAUUUUUCUACAUCACUAUAAAAAAUUCCUCCAGAGUACAAUAAGCUAAUGUGAAAUGAAUGUUCCAUUGAAGGCACAAGCACAAUUACUAAAAAUAAGGCAUGAAAGAGAGCAUCAGAAACAUCAAUUGGCAUAUGAUUGAAGUAAAAAAGAAAGAUACCUUCCUGUUACAAAGUGGGAAAAAAUGUCAGACUGUAAAUUAAAAUUUCUCCAUAUUGGUUGUACUAAACAGGAAAUAAAGCCUUAGAACUGUAAUAAUAUUUAUAUUGUUAAAUAAUACUAGGGACUUAAGGUGCUGAAAAGGGCUUAGUAAACAUACAUCAUUAUCUAGAAACACUUCAUCCUCAUGAAAAUUAGCAGGAAAAAAUAAUUUAAUUAAAACAAUCAUGAUAUAGCUGUGGCAGUAAUUUUUGAACUUUUUUUCAGGUAAAGAAAAGUAGUUCAGUGAACUAAACAAGCCAUAUUUCAGAGGAAGGUUCUGUAUGAAUGAGCCACUAUGGCAGCAAUGUCAAUAGCCACUGCUUUAUGCACAGGUAAAAAAGUCCAAAGUACAAGACAACAUGUAGUGCAGAAUCCUGUUAAACAAAUGCUCAAGAAGGAGGUUUUAGAGCUCACUUAAGUCAAAUCUUUCCCAGCUGUAUACAAUGAGGGAGAGUGAAGUUGGACCUUCCAUUAAAUGAGCAUACAGGGUAAGGAAUUUGAAUCAGGCUGAUUGUGUUUGCAGGAUUACUAAGAAUUUUCAAUGUGCUGUAUACAGGGAAUCAGCAAAACAAUGCAAACCCAGAAAAUCCAGGAAAACUGGUGGGAGGUAACUAUGAAAUAAAUAAAGUGGAAUCUAUGGAAACUGCAUAGUUAAAAGCUAUAUCUAACUUAUGGUUUUCCAUGAGAAGGGCAAAAUCAAAUGAGUAUACAAUGUUUUUAGCUGGUAUUUAACAUGACUCCAUACAAAGAAAAACAAAACAAAGAGAGGGUAAUCUUAAAAAAAGUCCUAAUAGAACAUUUCUAUCUUCCUGCAGUCAAGGACAUGAUGGCUCAGAAGCAUUCAUCUACCAGCAUUGCUUUGGCAUUUCUCCCAGAACUUUCAGGGUCUACUUGGCAGAAAAUAUGUAGCUGAAUAAUUUUAGUGUACUGAACAUCUUUCAUCCCAUGCAUCAGAGUCAUCUUCAUGGAAACUCUGCUUAAGCUGCAGGGGUGUAACCGGGAGCAACCUCUGUGUUUCAGCUUCCUCAGUGAUAGGAAAGAAUCCCUGACAGCUUCUGGGCUAUUGUUUUGCACAGCAGCCUCAAUCAUGCAUGUGUGGGAGCAGAGAAGGGAUACACCUAUGUCAGACCAGAGGCAGCAAUCCUCAUCACCUGGCAUUGGUAAUCAAUUCUAGAAAAUCUUAUGGUCAAUAUAAAAACUCCCAUGAAUAUAGUGACCUCCUGUUCUUGAACUAACAGGUCAGUAUCAACAAUAUCGGUAUAGCAAAGUACAUCACACUCAAAAUUAAUUUACUGAUCUUAGAGCAGCCCACAACCAGAACUCAGGACCAGCAUGAUCUUGGUUCUGUGGCAAAGACAAAACAGCUUGAAAUAUAUCUCACCUGUAGCCGUUCCCUUUUCCCCACAGAGAAUUUCUUCCUUUACUUUUCUUUGCCUGAAAGGAUAUCCCCACCUUGUUUGUGUUGAAGGGGAGCCCUCACUCCAGCUCAGAUGAUGUGCAUUUUCCACCAUGAGAUCCUCAGCAGGAACAAAACAGCAUUGCAUCAGGCCUUCCUCCUGCACACCUCAAAGUUUAGAAAAUGACAUCUCAGUAGUGUCUACUUCUCUGAAUGUUAAUUUCCUCAUCUUUCCAUAUAGCCUGCUCAGAGGUUACAUUAUUUAAUCCGUUCAAUUUAGAAAGUCUUCUUUCUCAAAAUUAAACAUAGCUGUAGUGCCAGAGGUCCUUGUGUGACUCCUGGGGCAUGUGUCAGACAAUCAUAUUGUGGCCAGUACCUGCAGCACAUGCAGACCAACUCCAGAAAGUCAAGUGGCUGCUUUCUCAGAUGAUGUCCAUGUCAUAACUGGAGUAGUUUUCAAAGUGAGCUUUUUACCAUUGUGCCAUCUCUUGUGAUUAAAUACUACAAUUAAAAAAAAAUAAGGUAACAGUCAUAAAAAGAAAAUACCAAAUUCUGGAAGAGAGGAAACUGAGUGAAAAAAGGACUAAAAAGGGCAAAGAAGAACCUAAAGGAAAUAUUCUCAGAAAGUCAAAGGAUUCCAUGCUUAAACAACAACUUCAAAGCUAAAAAAAAAUCCUUUGCAUACUUUAUCAGUAGGUAAAUAAAAUGUCUGUCCUCUUUUGCAUAGAAGUUUGGAAGG